UACGUAGGGUCCGAGCGUUGUCCGGAGUGACUGGGCGUAAAGCGCGCGCAGGCGGCCUGUUAGGCACGACGUGAAAGCCCCGGGCUCAACCCGGGAGGGUCGUCGUGAACCGGCGGGCUUGAGGCCGGUAGAGGUGGGUGGAACUCCUGGUGGAGUGGUGAAAUGCGUAGAGAUCAGGAAGAACACCCGUGGCGAAGGCGGCCCACUGGGCCGGAACUGGACGCUGAGGCGCGAAGGCGUGGGGAGCGAACGGG
rnacentral:rRNA from 1 species